rnacentral:ncRNA from 1 species
AGACGUAAAAGGUAAACCACCCGAAAGAGUGGGGCACAAAGCUAAAGGGCCUAAUCAUAUAUUUAUUUUGUAGGGUAGCCAGCUGCCAUC